UUUUAUUUUUGGUGUACUCAACACCCAUCAGUGAUCUCCCUUAUCUUACCUUGUUCUUACUUAUAUUCGUUUAGAAUAUCUAGGAAACAUAAAAGUAUAGUUUAGGUAGGAUCGUGAGAAAUGUAUGAUCAUUUGGUUCGAACUAGGAAUGGGAAGUUGGUCUUGAUAGUUGUUCUUGUGACAUCCCAAGUGCUAAUUAAGGCAAAUGGGUGUCAGAUACAGAUUCAGACAGCAGAACAAAAUAUUACAAAUUCCUUACAAAUAC
rnacentral:lncRNA from 1 species